rnacentral:rRNA from 1 species
UACGGAGGGUGCGAGCAUUAAUCGGAUUUAUUGGGCGUAAAGGGCUCGUAGGCGGUUUGUCGCGUCGGGAGUGAAAACCUCGGGCUUAACUCGGGGCUUGCUUUCGAUACGGGCAGACUAGAGGUAUGCAGGGGAGAACGGAAUUCCUGGUGUAGCGGUGAAAUGCGCAGAUAUCAGGAGGAACACCGGUGGCGAAGGCGGUUCUCUGGGCAUGAUCUGACGCUGAGGAGCGAAAGUGUGGGGAGCGAACAGG